rnacentral:misc_RNA from 1 species
GGUGAAGAACGUAGCGAAAUGCGAUAAGUAAUGUGAAUUGCAGAAUUCAGUGAAUCAUCGAAUCUUUGAACGCACAUUGCGCCCGCCAGUAUUCUGGCGGGCAUGCCUGUUCGAGCGUCAUUACAACCCUCAGGCCCCCGGGCCUGGCGUUGGGGAUCGGCGGAAGCCCCCUGUGGGCACACGCCGUCCCUCAAAUACAGUGGCGGUCCCGCCGCAGCUUCCAUUGCGUAGUAGCUAACACCUCGCAACUGGAGAGCGGCGCGGCCAUGCCGUAAAACACCCAACUUCUGAAUGUUGACCUCGAAUCAGGUAGGAAUACCCGCUGAACUUAAGCAUAUCAAUAAGCGGAGGA